AUUGAACGCUGGCGGCAUGCCUUACACAUGCAAGUCGAACGGCAGCACGGGAGCAAUCCUGGUGGCGAGUGCGACGGUGAGUAAUAUAUCGGAACGUGCCCAGUCGUGGGGAUAACGUAGCGAAAGCUACGCUAAUACCGCAUACGAUCUAUGGAUGAAAGCGGGGGAUCGCAAGACCUCGCGCGAUUGGAGCGGCCGAUAUCAGAUUAGGUAGUUGGUGAGGUAAAGGCUCACCAAGCCGACGAUCUGUAGCUGGUCUGAGAGGACGACCAGCCACACUGGGACUGAGACACGGCCCAGACUCCUACGGGAGGCAGCAGUGGGGAAUUUUGGACAAUGGGCGGCAAGCCUGAUCCAGCAAUGCCGCGUGCAGGAUG
rnacentral:rRNA from 1 species